AGUGAACGCUGGCGGUAGGCCUAACACAUGCAAGUCGAACGGCAGCACAGUAAGAGCUUGCUCCUACGGGUGGCGAGUGGCGGACGGGUGAGGAAUACAUCGGAAUCUACUUUUUCGUGGGGGAUAACGUAGGGAAACUUACGCUAAUACCGCAUACGACCUACGGGUGAAAGCAGGGGAUCUUCGGACCUUGCGCGAUUGAAUGAGCCGAUGUCGGAUUAGCUAGUUGGCGGGGUAAAGGCCCACCGAGGCGACGAUCCGUAGCUGGUCUGAGAGGAUGAUCAGCCACACUGGAACUGAGACACGGUCCAGACUCCUACGGGAGGCAGCAGUGGGGAAUAUUGGACAAUGGGCGCAAGCCUGAUCCAGCCAUACCGCGUGGGUGAAGAAGGCCUUCGGGUUGUAAAGCCCUUUUGUUGGGAAAGAAAAGCAGCAGGUUAAUACCCCGCUGUUCUGACGGUACCCAAAGAAUAAGCACCGGCUAACUUCGUG
rnacentral:rRNA from 1 species